rnacentral:rRNA from 1 species
GUAGCGUAAUCAAUUGUUUUUUAAUUGAAAACUGGAAUGAAAGGUUAAACAAAUUACCUUAGUUUGUGUGGUUUGGUUAGUAAAUUAAAGUCAAGGUAAGAAUUCUUUGAUCUUCUAGGGGACGAUAAGACCCUAGAAGCUUUAAAAAAGAAAAAUUUUUAGUAGUUGUAUAGCUUUUUUACUGGGGCGGUAUUAGUGUUUUAACUACUAAAAAUAGAGGUCGGUCCUUUAUAUAAAGAUAAUUCGGUGAAGUUACUCUAGGGAUAACAGUGCGGUAUUCUUGGAAAGGUCUUAUUAAUAAGAAUGUUCGCAACCUCGAUGUUGAAUUAAGAUGUCUACGUGGAGCAGUAAAUACAGUAGAGGGUUUGUUCAACCUUCAUAGUCUU